GAGGUGUUGGAAAAAAAUGAUAGAUUCGGAUUCUGCAUUACAUUGACUAAAUGAAUUGUUUUUCACGUAAGAAAUUUCUUUUACCUAAGAAGUCGAUACGGUUCACGUAACAGUAAGUGAAGGUAAAAAAAAAAAGAAAGAAACUACACUAUAAAAGUUGGCGUAGAUUGGUUACGCGUUCUUGUUUUAUUUUCUAUGGAGAGGUUAAUGAACAAUAAGAUGUCCAGAUAAAAAUGAUGAGCAUUUAAUUUGCCAGGACAACAUAUCGAGGAAACGUUUACAUGUCAAUAUCGUCAUCAUCAAUCAACUGUUUGUUUGCUAGGCUGGUCUUUAACAUGUGUGAAAUUGCCCUGUUUGGUCUUCAACGCUAAAUAAUUGAAGAUUUGAAGACUUACAAGGUUUCCAGUAUAGGAAAAACUUUUUAGUAUGUUCUGAUGUCUGUGUAGAUAAAGGAAGUACAUGUAUAUGACAUUCAACAUGCCUUUAACCAAAUGACAGUUUGACAUUUAGAGGACCAUGGAGAGAAUCAAGGAUUUUAUUGUGAUUUUAACACUCAUUUACAAUGUACGAGAUACUACUGCACAGGGGAGGCCGCUACAGAGUAUCAUAAGCUACAAAGGGAUCAACGGGGUUGUUCACAUUGAACCAAAUUUCAGAGCCAACACAUCGCUCGGCGUUGUUUCUUUUCCAAACAUAAGGAGUACGUAUUUGGUGGAGAUCAGAGAGAACAGGGUGGUCAAUGACGUCACAGUCAGGUGCCUAGACCAGGAUCUGGGUAAAAGAUAUAAAGAUCAUACAGGUUGCCAUAUUCAAUUUCUAGCUAGUCGACAUAAAAUUUUGAAAAAAUUCAGCAUAUAAAUCAUCUGACAAGUGGAGGCAAAAACCGGUUCUUGCGAUUUCUCAGAUUAUAGGUACUUGGGCACCACGUGGCAGCUUGUUCCAGGCAAAGAACAUCAAUAUUUUGUCUUCACCUCCGAAGCUCGCUUACUGAACGGUAGGUCAAUUCUUUUCACCAAUACCGAUACCGGGGAGAGACUCUGUGGUACAUUGGAAUCAAGCUGGUUACAUAACACGGCUGAAGCGAAAUUCCUGUCAAACAUUGCAGGAAGUGUUGUGUUUAGACAACUAGAAAACGACAGUGAUGCGGAUACGUCCGUGAGAGUCAAUCUUUUCAAAACACAAGAAGUUAACCCAUUUGCAGAAAACGUCUACUGGUUCCUACUCUCAAAUCCAAAUAGUGAUCAGCACAAGGUGACAAUGACGUCAGAAUGCCGACUUCCGCUUCCGUUCCCACCUUCUCUCACACAACUUUACAUCCUUGCCCGCAAAUUUGGUCGUCUGCGAGUUGGUCGGGUCAAGGACGACGCCACCUCAACGUUUGUCGAAACAGGCCUACCACUGUCCGGAGUCAGAUCAAUCAUAGGAAAUAUUCUGGUGUUAGCCAGAGGUAGCGGUGAGAUUGUCUCGUGUGCUUUUGUAGGUGACAUUGAGCCCAGGCAAGCUGUUUCGUCUAUAUUUAAUGACGGCGUAAAAGGAACAAUAAAUUUCUAUCAAAGGUCUCCAUAUGAUACAACAAUAGUACAAAUCUCCCUGAGCAACCUCCGUGGUCUGGCUGGGGGUUACCACAUUCACAAGUGGCCGGUUCCCAUGAAACUGACAGCGUUAGAUAAUGUUUGCGAUGCCCAAAGUAUAAGUGGACAUUUUGAUUUUCCAAGAGAUAAACCUCGAUCCCCUCCACCGGGGAGGGGCACUGCCGACCAGUACGAAAUUGGGGAUCUUAGUGGGAAAUACGGACUCUUAACUGGGCAGGAUAGCUUCAACGGUCAAUUCCGGGAUGACAAUUUACCCCUGUAUGGGAGGUACAGUGUAAUCGGGCGCUCACUUACAAUUCAUAAGUCUUACAAGGACGAAAGAUGGGUGUGUGCAACCAUUGAACCCAUCAGUCGAAUCACUAAAGCGGUGGCCAUAUUUACCGGGCCCGUCAUCGGGCGAAUUGUGUUUACCCAGAUUCGAAACAAUUACUAUGCUGAUACACAUGUUUACGUUGAGUUAAGCUACGCUAACGGGAUACAAACUCCAACAGUUGAUCAUAACUGGCAUGUUCACGAAAACCCGGUUUGCAGUUUGUUCAAUGAUAGACCUUGCUCUUGUUCAGCAGCCGGUGGACACUUUAAUCCUUUUCGUGUUAACGUGACAGGAAACUACCCAAAUGCAUGUCGGCCUGACAACCAUUUAAGAUGUGAACUCGGUGAUAUAUCCGGAAAACAAGGACCGGUUAAUAUUCGAACUAAAGAUGGAAUAUGGUAUAGGAAUUAUUUUACUGAUACAAAUUUACCUCUUGAAGGACCACUCGGUAUAAUAGGUAAACCGAUCGUGAUACAUGAUCAAAACAAAGGGAAAGGCCGUUUGGCAUGCGCAAAUAUUUUUGAAGUUCCGGCAAGGGCUUUGUUUGUCGAAAACUGGUACGGUUCGGAACCAUCAUCCAUUUCCGGCCUUUUCGAAUUUGUUGGCAGUGUUCCUCAGUAUGAAGAUGCGAUAGCAUGGACUUCUCUGCGUUUGACGGGAUUAAAUCGUCGGGCAGGGGAGUACCACAUACACACUGAACCUGUUGAUCCUUCAUCACCUAACCCCUGCGCUGACAGUGUAGUCGGUGGCCAUUUUAACCCUUUCUUCAUUAACAAAACAAACAGUCCACCCCCUGGAACUGGGACUCAUGAUUUUUACGAGGUUGGGGACCUUAGCGGCAAGUAUGGAUCAGUUCUGCAAGGCAGAGAAACAGCUCUAGCUUCCGGUCCUGACAACUUCUUGCCUGUAACCGGACCACUUAGUAUUAGUGGUAGAUCGUUAGUUAUCCAUACUGGGAACGGAUCGCGGUGGGUGUGUGGUAACAUCGAGGAGAACAUCGAGUUGUCCGGGGGAAGAGUCGUCCGAAUGAUUGCAAGGUUCACCAGAGGCAUGUUAAUUGGUGGAGUAAUAUUGAAACAGUAUGUCUAUACUGAUAAUACGGUCAGCGACACAGAGAUUUGGAUGGACCUAAGAUUUCGGAACAACGAGGGAUUACGGAUUAGAGGGCUGAAUUGGCACGUGCACGUGCAUGGUGUGGUAGAAGGAGGCAACUGUCAAGAUGCUGGUCCACACUACAACCCUUACAACGUCAGUACCACGGUAGGAUAUGAGGAGUGUUCCUUUUCAAACCCUUACCGAUGUGAAGUGGGAGAUGUAAGCGGGAAACACGUUGUAUAUGAAAUCGGCGGUGGUCCAAGAUUUUUCACCGAUGUAAACUUGCCUUUAAUUGGUCGAUUUGGAGUUGGAAAUAGGUCUAUUGUGAUUCACCAACCGAACAGAGGAGCUGGGAGAUUCGACUGUGCUAAUAUUGUUCCCUUAUUUGUAUAGUUAUCAUUGUAAUAAAACAUGGUUUGGAUUAAAAAAAAAUAAAAUAUAAUCAAACAC
rnacentral:misc_RNA from 1 species